GAUGAAGAACGUAGCGAAAUGCGAUAAGUAGUGUGAAUUGCAGAAUUCAGUGAAUCAUCGAAUCUUUGAACGCACAUUGCGCCCCAUGGUAUUCCGUGGGGCAUGCCUGUUCGAGCGUCAUUUACCCCCUCAAGCUCCGCUUGGUGUUGGGCGUCUGUCCCGCUUCGCGCGCGGACUCGCCCCAAAGGUAUUGGCAGCGGUCGUGCCAGCUUCUCGCGCAGCACAUUGCGCUUCUCGAGGCACCGGUGGGCCCGCGUCCAUCAAGCUCACCCCCCCAGUUUGACCUCGGAUCAGGUAGGGAUACCCGCUGAACUUAAGCAUAUCAAGCGGAGGA
rnacentral:misc_RNA from 1 species